GCAACAGCAUCGAUGAACUCUUCAGUGUUCAGGUAAUGACUCCUCGUGACACUGUAAGUGCAGGAUAAUACAGAGCAAGGUCCUUGGUCAUCUUCCCAGACUCGACAGCGCCAAUGCAGGCAGCUUCAAGCUUCUGAGUGAAGUCCAGUAGCCUAGCAUUGUCAUCUAGCUUUGCCCUAUAUCACACAACAAUCCUCUUGUCCAGGCAAAGAUUGAGGCAAUGCUGUUUGUGCUAGUUUCACCACCUUUCUGAUGAACACGGUAAUGACGGGUGACAGUCCCAUGGGCAGCUUCAGCUUCAAUGGUUUUCCCAUCAGGACAUACCUAGAACAUGAGUGCAUGAACCAAAAUUGGGUAUAUAACCUUGUGCUAAGAAAUCACUCUGCACAUCUCCAUCAUAGUUCUUGCAAGCCCAAACAUAGCCUCCUUCACUCUUGAGUGCAUAGGCAACCAUGUCAUCAAUGAGACGAUGCUCAUACCUGACAGAGACCAAACCUCAAAUUUUGAUUUCCACUGAGCUUCAUAUACCUCCUGGAAGAUGUCCUUGAACCUGCCAUCAUAUUUCUUCAAAAUUGUGUUUUUGGUGCUGAGGUACAAUGGCCAUUUCUUCUCAUAAGCAGUGGCCAUAGAGGCCUCAGCAAAGGAACGGAUGGACUACAAAAUCAAACGCUAAGAGCAUGAAUCACAAAAAAAAAAUGACAUACGCAUGCUUGAAACGAACAAUAGAAAGUGGCAAGCUGUAGCGUACCAUAAACCAAUUUAAGCUUGCCAGGUCCCUUGAUAACUGCAUCCGUUGCACGGUACUGAUCACCAAAUGCGUGCCUUCCAAUGCAAAUGGGCUUAGUCCAUCCUGAAAACACAACCAUUUCAUUUCAGUAAAUGGAAUUACAGCAGCACCUUACCAUUUAGGAUAUUUCUAAUUGUGCCGUUUGGGCUCUUCCACAUGGAUUUUAGGCUGAACUCUUUAACCCUUGCUUCAUCUGUCAUAGUUUUGAUACAAUACUCACAUAAAGUUCUUACUUGAGGGUAGCCUCUGCUGCCUCCACUGUGACUUUAUCGUCGGUUUGAUCACGGUAUGGAAGUCCGAGAUCAAAGUACUUAAUGUCCAACUCCAAGAACGGGAAGAUAAGCUGCAUAUUUAGGAGGGGAAAAUGGGAGAGGGAUCAGACUGACCGUCCAUCUCGACAAUGGGGUUGGCGACCUUGAUCUUGGUGGAUGCCAUGGCCGCGACAGGCGGGCGGCGGCGGAGAUCGCGAUGGCGGCGAGGAGGAG
rnacentral:sRNA from 1 species